UAAUAAGCAAGAAAGGGCGCAUGGUGGAUGCCUUGGCACGGGCAGGCGAUGAAGGACGUGAUAAGCUGCGAUAAGCCACGGGGAGCUGCAAACAAGCUCGGAUCCGUGGAUCUCCGAAUGGGGCAACCCGGCACUUUCUGAGUGUCAUCCUUGGGCUGAAUACAUAGGCCCUUGGAAGCGAACCCGGGGAACUGAAACAUCUAAGUACCCGGAGGAAAAGAAAACAAUAGUGAUUCCCCAAGUAGUGGCGAGCGAACGGGGAACAGCCUAAACUGAUGUGGUCUCGGCUGCAUCGGGGUUGUAGGGCUUGCAAUAUGGAUCAGGCGUUGAAGAGGAAUCCUGCUGGAAAGCGGAACCGAAGAAGGUGAAAGUCCUGUACGCGUAAGACAAAUGAUCCUAGCGAUGUCCCUGAGUACCACGGGGUCGGAGAAGCCUUGUGGGAAGCUACCAGCACCAUCUGGUAAGGCUAAAUACUAAUCCGUGACCGAUAGUGAACCAGUACCGUGAGGGAAAGGUGAAAAGAACGCCUAGUCGGCGAGUGAAAUAGUACCUGAAACCAUGCGCUUACAACCAGUCGGAGCCUGAUUUAUCCAUUCAUUUGGAUAAGGAGGGUGACGGCGUGCCUUUUGCAUAAUGAGCCUACGAGUUACACCUCACUGGCAAGGUUAAGUGCUUCUGGCACGGAGCCGUAGCGAAAGCGAGUCUGAAUAGGGCGCCACAGUCAGUGGGGGUAGACGCGAAACCGAGUGAGCUACCUAUGGGCAGGGUGAAGCGUGGGUAAGACCACGUGGAGGCCCGAACCGCAGUACGUUGAAAAGUGCCCGGAUGACCUGUGGGUAGGGGUGAAAGGCCUAUCAAACUCGGAAAUAGCUCGUACUCCCCGAAAUGUAUUUGGGUACAGCGUCGCAAUAGUGUAUCGGAGGUAGAGCACUGAUUGGGCUAGGGCCCUUCACCGGGUACCAACCCCAGACAAACUCCGAAUGCCGAUACUACGUUUUGCGGCAGUGAGGGCAUGGGUGCUAAGGUCCAUGUCCGAGAGGGGAACAACCCAGACCGACAGCUAAGGUCCCCAAGUUCAGUCUAAGUUGAUCAAAGGAGGUCGGAUUGCUGAAACAACCAGGAUGUUGGCUUGGAAGCAGCCAUUCAUUUAAAGAGUGCGUAAUAGCUCACUGGUCGAGCGAUCCGGCAUCGAAAAUUUGCGGGCAUUAAGACUGGCACCGAAGCUCCGGGUUUCCUAUCGGAAGCGGUAGGGGAGCAUUCCAGCGGCGGCAAAGCAGUACUGCGAGGUGCUGUGGAGCUUCUGGAAAAGAAAAUGUAGGCAUGAGUAACGAUAAGACAGGUGAGAAACCUGUCCGCCGUAAGCCUUAGGGUUCCUGUUCAACGUUAAUCGGAACAGGGUUAGUCGGGACCUAAGCCGAGGCCGAAAGGCGUAGGCGAUGGAAAACGGGUCAAUAUUCCCGUACCACCAACAAGCAAUAGAGUAAGGCGUGACGCAGAAGCGUAAGGUCCGCGCACAGACGGAUGUGCGUUGAAGUGCGUAGGCUGGAUGGGUAGGCAAAUCCGCCCGUCCGCUAAGGCUGAACCACGACAGUAGCGGGAGUCUUCGGACGAACGCAUAGUGGCCCCAAGUAUGCUGCCAAGAAAAGCGUCGUAUUCUGCUCAAGGUGCCCGUACCGUAAACCGACACAGGUAGGCGAGGAGAGUAUCCUCAGGCGCUCGAGUGAUCCGUGGCUAAGGAACUAGGCAAAAUUGCUCCGUAACUUCGGGAGAAGGAGCGCCUCCCUCUAUUAAAAGCGGGGGGAGGCCGCAGUGAAAAGACCCAAGCGACUGUUUAACAAAAACACAGCUCUCUGCUAAAUCGCAAGAUGAUGUAUAGGGAGUGACACCUGCCCGGUGCCGGAAGGUUAAGGAAGGGGGUUAGCUGCUUGCAGCGAAGCUCACGACUGAAGCCCCGGUAAACGGCGGCCGUAACUAUAACGGUCCUAAGGUAGCGAAAUUCCUUGUCGGGUAAGUUCCGACCUGCACGAAUGGUGCAACGACUUGGGUACUGUCUCGGCCACGGGCUCGGUGAAAUUGUGGUGCCGGUGAAGACGCCGGCUACCCGCGGUGGGACGGAAAGACCCCGUGCACCUUUACUGCAGCUUGACAUUGACAUUGAUUAAGGUAUGUGUAGGAUAGGCGGGAGGCUUUGAAGCUAGGGCGCCAGCCUUGGUGGAGCCACCCUUGAAAUACCGCCCUUGCUUUAAUUGGUGCCUAACCCGCGACCGUGAAUCCGGUCGGGGGACAGUGUCAGGUGGGUAGUUUGACUGGGGCGGUCGCCUCCUAAAAUGUAA
rnacentral:rRNA from 1 species